GGCUCGGUGUCGUUGCGGGUGCAGCGGCCGGUCUGCAAAACCGGAUUGUCGGGUUCGACUCCCGGCCGAGCCU
rnacentral:sRNA from 1 species